AUGCACCAUAAAUCAAAAAACUCAUGCCAACUCCAAGUUACACAUCAUUCACAAAGACCAAGUUAUUCAUUUAAACCAUAUGCUAAGCCAAAAAUUAAGCAUAGUCCAGAGAAAUUCUUGCAGAAUCCAUGCUCAAUACCUAUUACAACAUUAAACCAGAGAAAAAUCACUUCCAAUACAAAUGAUAUAAUAAAACGUAGGCCAAACAUAACCUACAUCAUUUUUCUCUAA